AGUAUCAGAAUGUGAUUUUAUCAUGCGUAACGCAUUAUAAUACAACUUUCAGCAACGGAUCUCUUGGCUCUCGCAUCGAUGAAGAACGCAGCGAAAUGCGAUAAGUAAUGUGAAUUGCAGAAUUCAGUGAAUCAUCGAAUCUUUGAACGCACCUUGCGCUCCUUGGUAUUCCGAGGAGCAUGCCUGUUUGAGUGUCAUGGGAUUCUCAACCCGAAAGAAUUUUAUUAUUCUGAGGGCUUGGACUUGGAGGUUUGUGUCGGCUCUUAGUUCAGUCGACUCCUCUCAAAUGCAUUAGCGUGAAUCUUACGGAUCGCCUUCAGUGUGAUAAUUAUCUGCGCUGUGGUUGCGUGAAGUAUUUAUAAACGGACUCAUGCUUACAAUCGUCUCUUGUGUGAGACAAUUUAUAUGACAUCUGGCCUCAAAUCAGGUAGGACUACCCGCUGAACUUAAGCAUAUCAAUAAGCGGAGGAAAAGAAACUAACAAGGAUUCCCCUAGUAACUGCGAGUGAAGCGGGAAAAGCUCAAAUUUAAAAUCUGGCAGCCUUGGUUGUCCGAGUUGUAGUCUAGAGAAGCGUCUUCCGCGC
rnacentral:rRNA from 1 species